CUCGGGAGAGCGUAAAAGUUUUUCUCUGCUCAAGCGUUACGAGCUCCCCCAGGUAAAGGCGAAAGUAAAUGGCCAAGCUGUAUUGAAGAGGUGGCCAUGGAUUUUCAUCACAGGUUGCAGCAGAUGGUUUCAAUAGUUCUGUUGAAUGCUCUUCAUCUUUGCCUUCAAGAGGAACCCCAGAUUUCAUUUACGGUCCAUUGCUAUGUUCUAGUAUGAUACUCUACUUUUCCACAGAACUCUUCCUGCUCAAGCUGAGAAGCAUGGCUAUAAUUUGCAAUUUUUGUUUUAUAAUAAGCUGGUGUUGAGGAAGGAGCUUUGGCAGUACAAGUAAUCACCAUUUCCACUGUCGAAAGCAUCUGGAAACUCAUCCCUACUGAUGAUCAACUAAUCACAAAUGGAAUUUCAAGGAAAAUUCAAAGUACUCACCUUGAAAGGCUUUAUCAUCCUAAGAAGUUUGUACUUCAUCCUGACAGCAAAUAAAUGAUGAAUGAGACAUUUCUAGUUGCAAUAUGAAGAAUGGAGUGAACAGAGUAAUUCUGGAGGUAUUGACUCAACUUAGGUACAUAGGUGAGAGGUGAAAAUAACUUGAAUUAGGGUAGAUAUUAGCAAUAGUGAGAAGUAGAAAUAUUUACGGGACAGAAGAAUUGGGACUUUAUGACUAAUUCACUACAUGAGGAGCAGGAAUUAAGGCUGAUAGACAGAUGAGAACCAGGGGAAAGAGAUAUGCAGUAGUGCUUACAUGAGGUACGAGGAUUGAGAAUAUAAAGGGGAAGUGCCAGCCAGUUCAUAAGAAUGGGCAGUCUCACCACACUUUUGUAGGUUCAUGUGGUAAGAAAUCCUGAGUUCAUGUAGAUUUAGUUUAACACCCAAAGCAAAGUAGGCUUCAUGGUCUUUGUGUUUUUAUGGGUUCCCAAGACCUGUGAUGCAGAGUUAGGCACAUUUAGAUGAUGUGCUCAGAACCUGUGUACUUCUUACUUCCUAAGAGGUUACUAGCAAAUUUAUGUAACCUUAUUCUGGCAGGUGACAUAGUCUUUGAGCCCUACUCUGGAAUAAAUGUAUCCUUCCCAUAGGGAUGCCUUCUCUGAGACACACAGCAACACCAAAUAAAUAUUUUCUGUGGAUACUAAAUUUUGAUAAUCAUAUUCAGUAUGGUUUAUAGAAGUUAGAUAAAAGUAAAAUCUAUUAACUUUGGAUAUGUUAAAUGACACCAUGACAUUUUUGAGAUAGUUAAGGCAAUAUUAGUGUAUGAGAGUCAAUACUUGAUUCAUUACAGACUGAGUCUGUCUAGGUUUCCUCUACCAUUCUAAUGAGAUCUAAUAAUCUGCCAGUGUUCCAAAGGAUCCAAUACAAGAAACAGAAAAGAGUGUGGUGAGAUGAUAUGUACAACAUACUAGAAACUGACUUUACAACUGUGACUUCUGUCUGUGUUAAUUUCCAAUAGGAAUAAAAUACAAGUGACAAAUGUGAGUCACGUAUAUAAAUAGAAACAUUCUAGAAUUCAUGUCUUAAGAAAGUAAAGAGAAAUAGGUGAAAUAAAUUUUUAAUAAUAUACCUUUAUUUAGCCCAAUAUGUAAAAAUGUUCUUUUUAACACACAUUUGACAUAAAUACUUUGUGCUUUUUUAUUUUAAAUUUUGAAAUACAAUAUGUAUCACAUUCUUGUAAGAAGUUCUCAUUUGGAUCAGAUACAUUAUAAGCACUCAAUAGCCUUUUGUGUGUAUGGAAUACCAUAUUGAACAGAGCAAAUCUAGACUUCAAGAAGAGCAAAUUAUAUUUCAUUAUACUUGUGAAAUAUGUUUGUUUUGGGUCUCAAAAGACUAAACAUUAUAACAUAUUUUAUCAUGUACAAUCUAAGUUUUUAAAAUAUCUUAUCAACUGAGUAUUUCCUACAUAUUUUGAUCAUACUCUUUCAUACUCUUCGUGCUAACUCUCUCCAGACUCACUUCCACUUCUCAAUUUACUUGCAGUCCUUUUGCUGCCUUUUCUGGAGACCAGAAAGUCCUGGAGACCGUAGGUGUCUGGUUUGUGCCUGAGCACCCACUGAUACCUAUUCUCCACACUUUGACCUGUUGUGAGUCUCUGUGUCAAUCACCAUCCAUUGCACAAAGAAACAUCUCGUAUGAAGUCUGAGGGUUGCGCUAAUUUAUGGGUAUGGAGAUGCAAAUUUAGAGAUUAGCUUGAUACUGUGUCCAUUUAGUGGAAUAAUAUUAGUUCACCCCUGAAGCCUGUGGGCUCCCUUAACCAUGUGUUUUUGGUCAGGUUAACAGUACCAAGCAUGUAUUAUUUUCUAGUGGGGCUGGCCAUAAAUACUAUCAGAAGACAGUUAGCUACUUUCAUAAUAUUCAUGCUACUAUUUAACUCAUGGACUUGUCUAGACUUCAAGAACAGGAACUUUUAUUUUAGUAUAGCUGUGGAAUAUGUUUGUUCUGCGUGUUAAAAGACACACAAAAUUCCAAUUAAAUUAAAUUUUAAAACCAAUCUAAUGUUAAAGACAGCUAACACUACAAUGAAAAUAACAAACAACUACAUUAUUUAUAUAAUACCCCUCAAGGAGUGUAUUUUACUUAAAAUCAGAUAUACAUUGCAGUACCUAUAGAAAGAACCUUGGGGAGUGAACUGACUUACGGGAUCUGUCAUUGGUAAGACAGUCUAGAAUUUCAUUAAGCAGAUUAGGCAGCCAAGACUGUGAAAAUAUGUUAGUCCAAUGUACAUACUUUACCUUUAAGAAAAAUAUUAUGUAUUAGAAGAAUUGUGACUUUUUACUCUCUAAUUUGUAUAUAUUCAUUGUACAAAAUAAUAGGUUUUAUGACAUUAAAAUACAUGUAUGUCAUGUACUUUGUCUCCCCUCAAUGACCUCCAUUAUUCAUUCUG
ensembl:lncRNA